rnacentral:rRNA from 1 species
CGCGCAGGCGGUCGUUUAAGUCGAAUGUGAAAGCCCCCGGCUCAACUGGGGAGGGUCAUUCGAUACUGAUCGACUUGAAGGCAGGAGAGGGAAGUGGAAUUCCGGGUGUAGUGGUGAAAUGCGUAGAUAUCCGGAGGAACACCAGUGGCGAAGGCGACUUCCUGGCCUGUUCUUGACGCUGAGGCGCGAAAGCUGGGGGAGCAAACGG